UGCCUGUAGUCCCAGCUACUCGGGAGGCUGAGGCAGGAAAAUCGCUUGAACCCGGGAGGCGGAGGUUGCGGUGAGCCGAGAUCACGCCACUGCACUCCAGCCUGGCGUCAGAGCGAGACUCUGUCUCAAAAGAAAAAAAAAAAGAAAGAAAAAUAAUGCCAAGUUCGUUUUCCAGGUGCUUGCACUUCUUUGGUUUGACUUUGCCAGCAGCACAGAGUUGGCAUUAUUUGUUGCACAUCUUCUUCGCGACUCGGUAAUGUCAGCCUUUAAAUUUCUGUCAUCCAAGUGUGCGUGAAAUGACACCUUACUGAACUCUUAAUUUGUAUUUGCAAUUACCAAUGAGAUUGAACAUCAUUUCAUGUUUUUUGACCAGUCCUGUUUCUUUUCUGUGAAAUGCCCCUGAAUAUCCUUUGCCCAUUUUUCUACUUAUUUUGUCUUGAUUUAUGUAUACGUACAUAUUUGUGUGCACAUAUAUACACACUUAUGAGUAUACACACUACAUUUUGGUUUUAAUAUUAAACGUGUUGUUCGCAUGGGUUGCAAAUAUACUCUGUUUGUAGCUUCUCUUUUUGCUUUGUUGAUGGAAUCUUUGAUGAGUAAAAAUUAUAAGUACUGAUGUAAUACAGUUUUCAGUUGCAUCUUUUUCCAUCAUGUAUCAUCCAUCCUUGUUACAAGGAUUUGAAUAGUCCAUCCUUUCCACAAUGAUUUGCUGCUUCUGAAAUAUGCUAAAGUCCAUACGUGUGGGUUUGUUCUGAAGCUCUAUAUUCUGUUCUACUUGUGUAUCCUUUUACCAAUAGCAUACUCUCACUUUAGCGACAAUUUUUUUUUUUUUUUGAGACGGAGUCUUGCUCUGUCGCCCAGGCUGGAGUGCAGUGGUGUGAUCUCGGCUUAGUGCAACUUCCGCCUCCCGGGUUCAAGCAAUUCUCCUGCCUCAGCCUCCGUAGUAGCUGGGACUACAGGCGUGCGCCACCAUGCCCAGCUAAUUUUUGUAUUUUUAGUAGAGACGGGGGUUUCACUAUGUUGGCCAGAAUGGUCUUGAUCUCUUGACCUCGUGAUCCGCCCACCUUGGCAUCCCAAAGUGCUGGGAUUACAGGCCUGAGCCACCAUGCCUGGCCUUAACUACAUAUCCUUACAUCGAAUAGGGUAAGUUCCCCUACAUCAGCCUCCUUUAAGAACACUUAGCAGCCAGGCUGGGUGCAAUGGCUCACACCUGUAAUCCCAGCACUUUGGGAGGCCGAGGCAGGCAGAUCACUUGUGGUCAGGAGUUCAAGACCAUCCUGGCUAACAUGGUGAAACCCCGUCUCUAGUAAAAAUACAAAAAUUAGCCGGGCGUGCUGGCAUGCGUCUGUAAUCGCAGCUACUCGGGAGGCUGAGGCAGGAGAAUUGCUUGAACCCAGGAGGCAGAGCUUGCAGUGAGCCAAGAUAGCACCACUGCACUCCAGCCUGGGCGACAGAGCGAGA
rnacentral:lncRNA from 1 species